AUUGAACGCUGGCGGCAGGCCUAACACAUGCAAGUCGAGCGGAUGAGAAGAGCUUGCUCUUCGACUCAGCGGCGGACGGGUGAGUAAUGCCUAGGAAUCUGCCUGGUAGUGGGGGACAACGUUUCGAAAGGAACGCUAAUACCGCAUACGUCCUACGGGAGAAAGCAGGGGACCUUCCGGCCUUGCGCUAUCAGAUGAGCCUAGGUCGGAUUAGCUAGUUGGUGAGGUAAUGGCUCACCAAGGCGACGAUCCGUAACUGGUCUGAGAGGAUGAUCAGUCACACUGGAACUGAGACACGGUCCAGACUCCUACGGGAGGCAGCAGUGGGGAAUAUUGGACAAUGGGCGAAAGCCUGAUCCAGCCAUGCCGCGUGUGUGAAGAAGGUCUUCGGAUUGUAAAGCACUUUAAGGUGGGAGGAAGGGUUGUAGAUUAAUACUCUGCAAUUUUGACGUUACCGCCAGAAUAAGCACCGGCUAACUCUGUGCCAGCCGCCGCGGUAA
rnacentral:rRNA from 1 species